rnacentral:rRNA from 1 species
UGUGUAGGCGGUUUAAUAAGAUAGUGGUGAAAUGCCGGAGCUCAACUUUGGAAUUGCCAUUAUGACUGUUAGGCUAGAAUGAUGUAGAGGAUAGCGGAAUACCCAGUGUAGAGGUGAAAUUCGUAGAUAUUGGGUAGAACACCAGAGGCGAAGGCGGCUAUCUGGGCAUAAAUUGACGCUGAGGCACGAAAGCAUGGGGAUCAAACA